GACGAACGCUGGCGGCGUGCUUAACACAUGCAAGUCGAACGGAAAGGCCCUGCUUGCAGGGUGCUCGAGUGGCGAACGGGUGAGUAACACGUGGGUGAUCUGCCCCUUACUUUGGGAUAAGCCUGGGAAACUGGGUCUAAUACUGGAUAGGACCAUGCUGUAGGUGGUGUGGUGGAAAGAUUAGUUUCGGUAAGGGAUGAGCUCGCGGCCUAUCAGCUUGUUGGUGGGGUAAUGGCCUACCAAGGCGUCGACGGGUAGCCGGCCUGAGAGGGUGGACGGCCACAUUGGGACUGAGAUACGGCCCAGGCUCCUACGGGAGGCAGCAGUGGGGAAUAUUGCACAAUGGGCGCAAGCCUGAUGCAGCGACGCCGCGUGGGGGAUGACGGCCUUCGGGUUGUAAACUCCUUGCAGCCAUGACGAAGCCCUUGUGGUGACGGUAGUGGUAGAAGAAGCACCGGCUAACUACGUG
rnacentral:rRNA from 1 species